rnacentral:lncRNA from 1 species
UGUGGCUCUGGCCCCCCCACCACCCCCCCACCCACCGCCCGCCCGCCUCCCCCACCGCUACCACCACCACCUCCUCCUCCUCCUCCUCCUCCUCCUCCUCCUCCUCCUCGGCGGCGGCGUCCUCCUCCUCCUCACCGCCUCCCCCAGCCCCCCAAACCCCCGGGCCACCCCCCUCCGAAACCCCCACCCUCGGGGCCGCCGUCUGAGGAGGGGGGCCAAACCACCCCCAAAAAUUGUCUUGGAAAAAAUUGAGGAAAGACUUUUUUUCCUUCUCUCUUUCCUCCCAAGAGAACAAGAAAGGGGGAUUUAAAAUAUAUAUAUAUAUACAUAUAUAUAUAUAUAUAUAUGUAUAUAUAUAAAAGUUUUCGACUUCUCUCUGCCCCCCUCUCCGUUGCUUUAAAUAUAUUUAAAUUCUGAGGGGGGCGCUCAGAAAUAUUUCUCAGAGCUGAGGCACUAAGAUGGCCGCCUUGAAAUUAUUUUUAAAACAACCCCCCCUCCAGCACCGCCACCCCCUCCAUAAAGAAAGGGAGAGGGGGGAAAAUCCCCUUUUCAAACAAAAUGGCUGGCUUAAUAUUUCAUUUUUCACCCCCCCAUUCUCCUCCCUGUUACACCCCCAUCUCCAAGCCUUUACCCAGAAACCCACAAAUUUCUCCUUUUUCAUAACUGAUUAGUGCACAGAUUAAUAGAGAUAUUUUCCUUGUGUACUGAAGUGUGUGUGUGUGUGUGUGUGUGUUGGGGGGGCAUGAAGGAUUUCUGCAUAAAACAAAAAUGGCUGCUGUGACUAACUCCCCCCUUAUAAAAAAUAUUUGAGGGGGGGCAUUAAUCAGUACUCAUGCUCAGUCUGACAUCAGCAUAAAUUGUUAAAGGUUAACUAGUUAGAUACUAGUCCAACUAGAUUUAAUUUUUUUUAUUUUCUUUACUAGUCUCUUCCUCCCCACCUCCCUUCUCUAAAGAAAAGCUUUUUUUUUUUUGAAUACUUCAGAAGGGAGUGGUUUGAUGUGAAGGUUUUUUUCCCCUUCAGGCAUUGAAAAGGAAAAAGAUGAAAUAUAUGUUUAUAUAUAACUCUGUUUCUACAUACCUCAUUGAAGUCACAACGCAUUUAAUUGUGUACAUAUCUUUUAAAUGAGAAGCGGGACUGGAUUUUUUUCUGCUUUCUUUAAAAAAAGUGAUAGAAAUCCUAGUGACUUUUGGGGGAGAGAUAUGAAUAGAUACGAUGAUUGAGUUUUUUUCAAAGGAGUCCAUGUUUGAUUCUCCCCUUUACCCAGCCUUUUCAGUGAUUUAUAAUUGUUAUAAAUUUUAUCUUUACUCUUUUCCCCUUUCCCUCGCUUUCCCCUCCUCCAAUUGUUAGAAUGUAAAAUUCAACUGACUUGAGAAAUUAAUUUGGGGGGUAAACAACAAAUUUUUAGGAUAAAGAGGAAAGAGUCAAAUCUGAAGAUCGUGAAAUUAUGUUCUCUUUUCUUCCGUUUCAGUAUAUUUGCCUUCCCUCCAUGAUCUCCAACACUAUCCGAUAAAGUAGAAGCAACUGAGGUACCGUGAAAGAGAAAGGAGCUGGAACUGAGAAAAAGCAGAGGUAGGGGUUAUACCCAGGCGUUUUCAUCUAACUUUCUGACCUGUGAUUUCCAACUGUACCCCAGUGUUUAUGGUAAAGUGGUACCAGGAAUUGGACAGUUGGAAAGGAGUCCCAAAGUAGCUUUCUCAUACAGAGAUUUGCCCAGAGAGGUCUAGACAGAAAAUGAUCCUUGCCAAAUGGAGCAAAGGAAGGAGGGCAAAUAGCUCAGUUCUACCCUCUUUCAUUCUUGUUGACCCUUUCUUACUCUAGCUUCCUCCCAUUCCUUUGAUCUCCCUUUGCCCCUUCCCUUGCUUCCCAUUCCAUGCCUGUGGAAUCAUUUCUCUCUGGGUUAUUCCUCUACCUCUCCAGUGUAACUGCUGGCCACCCAUCUUCGGCGGUGCUCAGGAGCACCCUGAGAGGGAGGGGUAGGUGGGCAGCAACCAGAAAGUAUUAGUGACUGGGAAGAUGACGCACAUUUUUGUUUAUGAAGCUAAAAUGUUCUUUAUUAAUGUUCCACUCCCCACACUAAUGCACUUUAUUGGGUGUUGGUUUCCAUCUCUUUUUUUUUUAACCUGGCCUUUGGAAUUCUCUUGCUUUGGUUCCCACAUCAUUUCUGUACUAAGUCUAACUCCUCCUCCUUUUCCAGUUUUCCUGUCGAUUUUGCUCUCUUGUCUUCUUUCUCUGUCCCUCUUUACUAGUUCAUCUGGUUAUCCCCCCCUUUCUAUAUUGUGGGCUUCUCUCUAUUUAUGUCUUUGUUUUUAACUGAGACUAUCCUUCUCAUCCCUUGGACCCUCAGGCUCUGUCACCUCUACGUGACUUUCCAUCUCUGUCUUCUUUCUGCUUACUUCUGUCUUCCAGUCUCUGACUGUGUGUGGCUCUUCCUCAUGUGUGCCUGACUCCCCCUCUUUCUGGCCCCUUCUGUGUGUGUCUGUGGAUCAUACUGUGUAUGGGAAGUGUCUCCACGUGUAUGUGGGCCACACUGCGCAUCAUGUGCGCCGCAGCCUCUCUGCCUCUGUGCCCUCUCCCUAUACUGAGAGCCUCUGCUUGCCACAUGUGCCAUGAUCUGCAGGUGCGGGUGGCUAAAGGUGGCCGUGUGCAUCCCUAUACAAACACUCAUCAUUCUCUCUCUUGAGUGUGCUUUGCAUGUGGAUUUGCUAAUUUGCCUUAUUCUCCCUCUCAUCCAUCCUCCCUUUUGCCUGUCUGCAUCUCUUUCUGUUCUCUCUCUCUCUCUCCUGACCUCUUGAUUUUUCUUCUUCUCUCCUUAUUUCUGCCUCUUUACCUGCUUGCUCCUGUUAUGGUGUCUGCCUGCCUGCCUGUCUGCUCCUCCCUGACUGGCUGGCAGCCUCUUUUUCCUCUCUGGUUGUCUGUCUGCUUCUCUGGCUGUUUGCCCACCACUCUCUCUCUAGCCAUCUGUCUCCCCGCCUGCCUGUCUCUAUCACUUUUUUAGCCUGCAUCUCUCGGUUUGUCUACCUUCCAGGCCCUGCCACGGCUCCCCAUCUUGGUUUGCCUCUUCUCUUGCCCUUCUGCUUGUUCCUUCUCUUAUUUGUGCCUGUUAAGUUCCUCCUUUUCCCUUGCCUCCCUUUAGAUCUCUCUUGCCUGUCUACCCUGUUUGCUGCUAUCCCACCGUUUCAGGCUUUUCUCUCUUUAGUCUUCAUACUUACCAGCUUUUUCUUCCUUUGCUUCUUCUCUGCCAACUUCCAUCAAUGAGGAUAGUCUCUCUCCCCUAAACCUCUCAGUAACCCCUUUGCCUCAAAGUCUUAUCUAACUUCUUGCCACAUCCCCUACCCUGCCUUCUCUCACGUUUGCCUUUAUUUCAGUUAUCUCUUUUUCUGUCUUUCUGGUUCCUCAGACAGUCUGCCUGUCUCAGUCUUUUUGCCAUUUUCCCAGUCUCUCGCUGCCUUCCUGCCUUUUUGCUGUCUGCUUGGCAGGCUCUUGCUGUCCACGUCUCUUCUUGCUUUUCUCUCUUCUUUUGUUUCUUUUUCCAGUUAACUUCUAAAUAGGUAGUACAUACUUAUGGUACAACAUUUUAAAAGUACAGAAAGUGUACUGUGAAAAGUAAACCUGUCUCCCAUCCUUCUCCCCUAGUCCCGGAGUUCCUCUCCUCAGAAGCAGCCACUGUUUCACAUUUCCUGGAUACUGCUCCAGAGAAAAGUCUACACAUAUACAAGUCUUUUUGCUUGCUUGCUUUUGCUUGUGUUUUGCUGUACUCCUCCCUACUUUUCUUCCAGUUUUUCUGGAUGCUCCUUCCUCUGUCAGUCUGUCAGUACUCCUAACUAACUUGGCUGGGCUUGCCAUCUCUGGUCUUUUUGAUUCUACCAAGUGUUACCCAAAGCACGUGUCUUUUGGAUUGACUAGUUACUGGUUGCAUGCGUUCACUACCAGUACUUGAGGAGUGCUCAGGAAGGCUUUACUCUCUCCAAAUGUAGUCUACUCUGCAUGGUAAGUGGUCUGAUGCCAGCAAGACAUCUUUGUUGGUCGCUUCAUCACUGAAAUGUGUAUUGGAGAAGGCAUGAAAGCACCGGUAGUACUAAAAAGUACCCUAUAAAUAUAGGCACUGUUAAUAAGUAACAGUAAGCUGAGCUUACAUGCACACAGAGUAGGUAGAGGACUGCCCUGCUUUCUCACUUAGUCUAUAUGAAUUCUGUAAGGUCAUGUGAAUCCAGAUCCUUUAGGUUGUCGACCUAGGCCUAAGAAGUUUGUCUUCCUCCUAGUCUAAAAAGCUUUCUCCUGAUUAAAGCCUUCUGGCUCCACUCACAUGCCACCUUAGAGACAUUUUAUAACUCUUUGAAGGAGACAAAGACACAACCUCUAACCAGGUCUCUUUGAAAAAGAUGAUAAUAAAACUUCUACACACAAUGCACUGUUCUUUCAUUUCUGCUUUUUUACUGCCUGUUUUCCUGAGUUUAACUGUUUCAGCCUCUAUCUUUGUGUCUCUCCACUCUUUCCCUCUUUCCCUCUCUUACUUCUCUUUUCUUGGUUCUUUCUUCUUAUCUGUCUGUCUUGAUCUCUAUUCUAGCCUCUUUUUCUGAUUGGCCCUCUCCCCUCUCUUCUGUCUGAUUGGCCUGUAUCCUUCCAUCACCCCAUCUGUCUGCUGGAUUCUCCCUGUCUGCCUGCAGUAAUGUAUGUGAUAGCACUUUAUAAAUUAUAAAGCACUAUGUUGUAUAAAACACCAUUAUCACUUUGUCUUCCUUCUUACCUUAUUUUUUCUUCCUUUAUCUGUCUUCCCUUCUUCUCUCUUUCUCUCUCUCUCUGUUUGCCUGUCUGCAUCCCUUUUGGUGAUUUUGCCUGCCUUCUCUGUCAGUCAAUCUCCAUUCCCUCCCUGCCAGCCUAUUUUUCUGCCAUCCCUCUUCUCUGUCUGCUCAGUUCUUGCAUCUCUCCUUCUGUGUUUCCAGGUUUCUCUAUAUUUCUUUUGCCUGUGUAGUCUCUCUGUCGUUAGGCCUUUUAUCUAUGCCUGUGUGUCUCACUGUCUAGCUGCUUGUCUCCCUGCCUGUCACUUUCAUUGUGGGGCAUCAGUCUCUGCCUUCUUCUGUCUUUCAGUACUUCAAAAAAUAAAAAUUAAAUAAAAAAUUUAAAUUCCUUAUGAUUAAUGGGUACAGGAGAAUAUUUUUUUUGUUUUAAUGAGAAGACUAUUAAGGUGAGAACAAAGAACUCAAAUAUUCAGCUGUGAAAUGCAAAUGAAGAAAAAUUUUUAAGGGACUCUCAAGCCAAGAAUAAGAUUAUUUAACGCAAAAGCAAGAAACAUAUCUAAAGCAAUAAUUUCUAACCUUUUAGGAUCGUAGAAAGUUAGAAACUUUCUCCAGAAAAAAAAAAUACACACAAAAUGUCACAUAUGUUUUCACGGUGUUACGAAUACCCUGAAGUCUUGGACCCCAGGUUAAAACUCUGAUGUAGGGAACCAGUGAUAAUCAGUGAUAGAGCACAGACAUGUACUCAUACAACAAGCAGAGUAAAAGACUGAAAAAACACUUGCAAUCUAUGAUUUUCUACCCAAGGAUAUGUUAAAGAGAUUCCUAAUUGUCUUUUGAAAUAUGUAGGUCAGUGAUAAUAAUGAAAGGCAUGUAAAUACUCAGGAUAGUCUAGACCUAAUCAUAGUAUUUUAGAGAUGGAAGGUCUUAUAAAUCAGUGGUUCUCAAAUGGCUAAGAAAGGUUGCCACAUGUCCUUUACUGGAAAAGUCUGUCCUUUAUUCUGAGAGGAUAUAUUUCUGAUAUAUAUUUUUACAUAGAAUAAAUAUAGUAUACAGUAUAUUUAUAUAGGAUAAAUAUAUGUAUAUAUGCUUAUAUUUUAUGUUAUAAAUUAUGUUACAUAUUAUUAAACAUAUAUACACAUAUACAUAUUUAUAAUGUUAAAAACUUCCUUUCUAAAGCUGAGAUAGAUCUGUAUGGCAGAAUGUGAGUAGAUUUUAGUGGGGAAGGGGGAGGAAAAGAAUAAGAAAAUGACUUUUUAUACUUACUGUACAAUCUGAAAAUUUUCAACAUGUACUUCUUUUAUAAUUAUACAACAUUUUAAAUAAUUUUAAAUAUCUUUUUAUGAGACGUAGUUUCAUCCUUGUUGCCCAGACUGUAGUGCAAUGGCGCGAUCUCAGCUCACUGCAACCUCUGCCUCCCGGGUUUCAGCCAUUCUCCUGCCUCAGCCUCCCGAGUAGCUGGGAUUACAGGCGCGUGCCACCACCACACCCGGCUAAUUUUUUGGAUUUCUAGCAGAGGCGGGGUUUUACCAUGUUGGCCAGGCUGGUCUCGAGCUCCUGACCUCAGGUGAUCCACCUGCCUCGGCCUCCCACAGUGCUGAGAUUAUGAAUUUUGUUGUUCUUAAUGUCCUUACUCAGCACAAUGAAAAGUCAGCAACCCCAUGUUGAUCACUAACUUUUUUUUUUUUUACAUUUUAUUGAUCAUUAAAAUCUAAAAGUCUAGGAUUUACUGCUUUAAUCUAACCUGUUCUUGAUUUUAUCAAGGAGGAAACUUCAGUCCUUCAUAUAUCAUAUUCAUGAUUUGCCAUAUCUAUAUAUCAGCUAUACCAUUAUAUGCAUACUAUUUUUCUUUAAAUCACUCACCUUUCUUUAACUUAAAUGAAUGUUCUUUAAAAGGUAAAUUUUAUAUUGCUAGAAAUAAUAUUCAUAAGUCUUUAAUUUGAUACUGUAAUUAUGUUUUUCUUUCUAAUUUAAAAUGCAAUAUUGUUAAAAUAAAAAUCAAUAAAAGUAAAAGCAUCUUGCAUGCUACUAAUAAUAUAGGUACAUAUUUUAGAAAAUAUCACUUUAAUCUAAUUUUAUAGGUAUAGAAACUGGGGCCUAGAUAUUGAAAGGAUUACCUAAGAUCAAGUUAGUAGUUAGAGACAGAACCAGGACUUGAACUUUUAUCUUUCGGUUUCCAAUCUAGUGUUCUUCUACUAUAUACUACAUGAGUUUUAAGUCAAUGAGAUGUCCUAGAGUUUUAAAGGACACUAAUAUGUGAAACUGAUGGUCACAUAUAUUACUGUUAUUAACUAUAACAACUAUGCCACAAAACUAGCAAGGCCAAUUUAAUAGUAUGUGUUAUACUUAUAAACUUAGUGUUUUUUGACACAGAGUUCCACUUCUCACCAUUUAUUAUAGAGAAACAGUCACCAUACUUAUGCAUAGGGUGACAUUACAGAGCUAUUCAUUACAACACUGUUUGUAACAGCAAAAAACUGGAAACACCCUAAAUCUCCAACAGUAAGGAAUAGCUAAACAAACUACACAGCAGUUAAGAAAAAGGAGUUACUGGGGCACAUGUUCUCAGGAUUUCCUGGGGCUGUGUCGCAGGCCAUUAAAAAGAAAAAGAAAAAAGAAAAAUGAGUUACUUCUGUAUGUAGAGACAUGGUUAAUAUAUUGUUGAAUGGAAACAAGCAACUUGUAAAAAAAAAAAAAAUGACAUCAUUUAGUUUAUGUUUAAAGAAAUUAAAACAAUAAUAUUUUUACUGAUACAUUUAUUUGGAUUUAAAUGCUUUUAAAAAUGCUGGAAGUGUACAUACCAAACUGGUAACAUUGGUUACUUUCAGGAAAAAAUAGUCAAGGGGGAUUGUUUGCUUCAUUGAUAAUUCUGAAUUUUUACAAUGAGAAAGUAUUUAUUAUUUAUGUAAACAAAAUUAAGUAGCUUCAUUGAUUACGUUAGCAACUGGAGCCAAAUGGGAUAAAAAGUAGUAUGACUUCUCUAAAGAA